GGUAAACGGCGGCCGUAACUAUAACGGUCCUAAGGUAGCGAAAUUCCUUGUCGGCUAAAUACCGACCUGCACGAAUGGUGUAACGACUUGGGCGCUGUCUCAACAGGGGACUCGGCGAAAUUGUAGUUCCGGUGAAGAUGCCGGAUACCCGCGACGGGACGGAAAGACCCCAUGAACCUUUACUCCAGCCUGGUACUGGGUUUCGACUCAGUAUGUGCAGGAUAGGUGGGAGACUGUGAAGCGGGAACGUCAGUUCUCGUGGAGUCGCCCUUGAAAUACCACCCUUAUUGUGUUGGAAUUCUAACCUCGAUCCUUGAAUCAGGAUUGGGAACACUGCCAGGUGGGAAGUUUGGCUGGGGCGGCCGCCUCCCAAAAGAUAACGGAGGCGCCCAAAGGUUCCCUCAGCGCGGUUGGUAAUCGCGCGAAGAGUGUAAAGGCAUAAGGGAGCUUAACUGCGAGACAUACAGGUCGAGCAGAUGCGAAAGCAGGGCUUAGUGACCCGGCGGUUGCGCGUGGAAGCGCCGGAGAUCAACGGAUAAAAGGUACUCUGGGGAUAACAGGCUUAUCUCCCCCAAGCGUACAUAGCGACGGGGAGGUUUGGCACCUCGAUGUCGGCUCAUCACAUCCUGGGGCUGGACAAGGUCCCAAGGGUUUCCCUGUUCGGGAAUUAAAGUCGGUACGCGAGCUGGGUUUAGAACGUCGUGAGACAGUUCGGUCCCUAUCUGUCGUGGGCGCAGGAUAUUUGAGGAGAGCUGUCCCUAGUACGAGAGGACCGGGAUGGACGAACCUCUAGUGUACCAGUUGUCUCGCCAGGGGCAUUGCUGGGUAGCUAUGUUCGGAAGGGAUAAGCGCUGAAAGCAUCUAAGUGCGAAGCCCACUCCAAGAUAAGAUAUCCCGUGGGAUAACCCACCUAAAGGCUCCUUGUAGACUACAAGGUCGAUAGGUCACAGGUGUAAGCGCAGCAAUGCGUUCAGCCGAGUGAUACUAAUCAGCCGUGAGGCUUGACCUU
rnacentral:rRNA from 1 species